rnacentral:rRNA from 1 species
UACAGAGGGUGCGAGCGUUGUUCGGAAUUAUUGGGCGUAAAGGGCGCGUAGGCGGCGCCACAAGUCACCUGUGAAACUCUGGGCUCAACCCAGAGCCUGCAGGCGAAACUGUGGUGCUGGAGUAUGGGAGAGGUGCGUGGAAUUCCCGGUGUAGCGGUGAAAUGCGUAGAUAGUCGGGAGGAACACCUGUGGCGAAAGCGGCGCACUGGACCAUAACUGACGCUGAGGCGCGAAAGCUAGGGGAGCAAACAGG